rnacentral:misc_RNA from 1 species
AUAUUAUAUUAUCCCACUUUAAUUAGGAUAUCUUACAACACACCCACAUCUUGAAAAUAUGCCUUUCCACGCAUACAACAUUGAUAAGUCUGUUAAAAAAAAUGGUUCACCAUACCUUACUGAAGCUCAGUUGAAGGAAAUUUUCAAGCAAUUUGACGUCAAUCACGACAAUGUUCUCAGCAGAGAUGAGAUAAAGAAAGCUUUCGAGUAUAUUGGCGCAUUGUUUCCUGGCUACAGGGCCAACCGUGGGAUCAACCAUGCUGAUGCUAAUGGAGAUGGAGUGGUCGACUUGCAGGGCGAGUUGGAUGCUCUUGCCAAUUAUGCUUUUAAAAUUGGGUAUAAAGUUAAGUAGAACUUGGAAGCCGGAAAAUAUUCAACUACUUCAAAAAAAGAGUUAUGUGUGUUGCCAUAAAUUUAUUUAGCUGCGAUCUUUAUGUGCUGUUCACUGCUUUAAAAGUAUAAUCCUCCUAUUAAUUAUAAUUUACUAGUAACUAUCUCUAUGUGUUGUUCACCAUCUACCAAGUUUUAGCUUGUUUUCUGUUGUAAUUUUAAGCCUAAAGAAGAUAAUAAUAUCCCUUAAUUAUAUAUGCCUCCCUUAUAUAGGCUUUUAAUUUAAAUUCUAAUAUUUGUCUCUUUUUUUUUUU